CCUACGGGAGGCAGCAGUGGGGAAUCUUGCGCAAUGGGCGAAAGCCUGACGCAGCCAUGCCGCGUGAAUGAUGAAGGUCUUAGGAUUGUAAAAUUCUUUCACCGGGGACGAUAAUGACGGUACCCGGAGAAGAAGCCCCGGCUAACUUCGUGCCAGCAGCCGCGGUAAUACGAAGGGGGCUAGCGUUGCUCGGAAUUACUGGGCGUAAAGGGAGCGUAGGCGGAUAGUUUAGUCAGAGGUGAAAGCCCAGGGCUCAACCUUGGAAUUGCCUUUGAUACUGGCUAUCUUGAGUACGGAAGAGGUAUGUGGAACUCCGAGUGUAGAGGUGAAAUUCGUAGAUAUUCGGAAGAACACCAGUGGCGAAGGCGACAUACUGGUCCGUUACUGACGCUGAGGCUCGAAAGCGUGGGGAGCAAACAGGAUUAGAUACCCUGGUAGUCCACGCUGUAAACGAUGAGUGCUAGUUNUCGGCAUGCAUGCAUGUCGUGACGCAGCUACGCAUAGACACUCCGCCGUCGGGAGGUACGGUCGCGAGAAGUUAAACUAACGAAGAAGUAGACGGCGUGAGACGUGCCGACGGACGACGACGAGGGAGGAGG
rnacentral:rRNA from 1 species